AUGUUGGGGUUGUCUUGUAGGAUCUCCUCCGUGAGGUGCAUGUACCUCUUCCUGAUCUGCGACUUGUCACCUGAAAUGAAGCAUUGUUUGUUAGGUGUCUUGUCCAUCCGAGAAAAGGCAAAAUUAAGAUACGGCAAGGAAGAAUGGAAAUCAUUGCUUACACAUCCUCUUGAACUUCUCCUUGAGGUCGGCCAUGUGGUCGCUCUUGGUGAUCUUGAAGUAGUAGUCCGGGUAGUCGGCCUGGUACACGCAGUUUGCUGGCGUCGCCGUGCCGAUCGCCAGCACUGUGGCCGGUCCUUCCGCCCGCUGCGCCUUCCUCACCUCCUCCACCGUCAUCGUCGCCGCCAUUGA
rnacentral:rRNA from 1 species